AAAGGCGGUUGGGGGCGGGGCGCGCAGAGCUCGUGAGCGCCGGCGCGGGGACGCGGGUUUCUGCCUCAGGCCCUGCCCUGCUCUACUCUGCGCUCUCUGCCCGCGCCGCCGCCGCCUCAGCCUCGGCCCUGCGCUGCGCGCCCGGCCCGAAGACGCCGAGGAGGCAGAGCACCGCGGCGCCGAGCGCAGACCCGAGAGCUUUACCACUCCUGAAGGCCCUAAACCCCGUUCCAGAUGCUCUGACUGGGCAAGUGCAGUUGAAGAAGAUGAAAUGAGGACCAGAGUUAACAAAGAAAUGGCAAGAUAUAAAAGGAAACUCCUCAUCAAUGACUUUGGAAGAGAGAGAAAAUCAUCAUCAGGAAGUUCUGAUUCAAAGGAGUCUAUGUCUACUGUGCCGGCUGACUUUGAGACAGAUGAAAGUGUCCUAAUGAGGAGACAGAAGCAGAUCAACUAUGGGAAGAACACAAUUGCCUACGAUCGUUAUAUUAAAGAAGUCCCAAGACACCUUCGACAACCUGGCAUUCAUCCCAAGACCCCUAAUAAAUUUAAGAAGUAUAG
rnacentral:lncRNA from 1 species